GCACCAGUGGGGAAUAUUGGGCAAUGGAGGGAACUCUGACCCAGCGACGCCGCGUGCGGGAUGAAGGCCUUCGGGUUGUAAACCGCUUUCAGCAAGGAAGAAGCGAAAGUGACGGUACUUGCAGAAGAAGCACCGGCUAACUAUGUGCCAGCAGCCGCGGUAAUACAUAGGGUGCAAGCGUUGUCCGGAAUUAUUGGGCGUAAAGAGCUCGUAGGUGGUUCGUCACGUCGGAUGUGAAAAUCUGGGGCUUAACCCCAGACCUGCAUUCGAUACGGGCGAGCUAGAGUGUGGUAGGGGAGACUGGAAUUCCUGGUGUAGCGGUGGAAUGCGCAGAUAUCAGGAGGAACACCAAUGGCGAAGGCAGGUCUCUGGGCCAUUACUGACACUGAGGAGCGAAAGCGUGGGGAGCGAACAGGAUUAGAUACCCCCGUAGUCCGGUC
rnacentral:rRNA from 1 species